rnacentral:lncRNA from 1 species
GGUAAACCUACACCCUGAGAGAAAAUAAUGUUUCCUGUUUUGUGCUCAUCCUACAGGGACUUUUGUGGCCUUGGAACUUUUUACUUGUAAAUGAAGAGCACCCUGAUAAUACAGAUGAGAGCUGUUUCCUGGAAGAUUGUUAAAGAGGAAGCGGAAGCACCUCCAGUGGCACAGGCACUGGGAAAAUGGAACUGAAGAGAAAAAACUAUGGUCAAUUCUGUGGGGUUAAGUAAAGAUCAUCGUCUUGAUUCAUGACGGCACUUACUGCUUCCAGUAGCUGU